rnacentral:lncRNA from 10 species
CUUCCGCCUCCCGGGGCGCAGGCGCUGGGCGCGGCGGGGAAGGGACUCGGCACUGGGGAAACCCGGAGUUUCAGCCAGGGUCCCAGGGCUUCCUUCCCGGGUUCCUGCCGGAAAACUUUUCUCCUCCGCCCGGAAGCCUCGAUGGGGCACUGCGACAGCAGAAGACACUUAGGCGGCCUGAGGGGUUGGUGAACCACAGAGGAGCUCAGCUUCGCCUGGUCUCCAGCUCCCGGUGGCGGUGGCGUGUCCUUAAUGCUGCUGGCUUUGAACUGGACUGAGAACUAUUUACCACACAAACACCACCAUUUCAAUCCCGGAGAAUGCCUGUUUUCCCUAGGGUGACCUGGCCGGGGUAACAAACACUUGUUCUCUAAUUCCACGGUCAGCCUUGACUUAAUUGAGCCUGUCCUGCUCUGGCCUGCCCUGUGCUCAGGAAGCUGGCGGUCCCCCUCAGUGGAUCUUCACCCACAGGGACAACCUGCUGCAGACCGGGUAGGAGGGAGGCAGGGGCCUCUUCCCCUCUCCUUCCUGGCCUGGCCCCACACCCACCAGUGUUGGUUUCACUCUGUGGCUACGAUUCUUCCUGGGUGCCCUUUCCAUUGCACAACUCCUCUAGGCUCUACGAACAGAACUUCUCCCCGCCCCCAAGCCUCUUAGGGUGAGACAUGUUGUCGGUCUGCCAUUGUUGCUGGUCCCUAAAUAGCAGCACCCUUUGAAGGAUCCUUGAACCAUGACCACACCGCAACAAAGAGUCCUUCAUCAAACUCGCUUCCAAAUCCCCUCCCAAGAACACCUUCAGUUUCCUGCAAGAACCCUGACUGCUGAAGCCGGAUUUUGACUAAGCUUCUACCUUGUAAACCGUGACUGUGGGAUUGGGGUCGAGGCGCAAUCAGAGGUUGUAUAAGGCACUAGAUCAAGGCUGCCUGUCUGUCAGGAGUGUCUGCUUUAUUCAGUAGUAAAUGUGAAUUGUUUUUCAUUCUGUUGUGAAUACUGUUGGUUGACAAUGCAGCAGCCAUGCCCUCUCUAUCCUUGCUGGUUCAGGUAUCCACUCUGUGUGGCUAAGGGUAAACUCUGUCUCUUGAGAAAAUCUUGGUAACUCCAUUUCUCUUUCCAACAAUUGGCUUCAAACAAGCUCAAGUCAAUGAGUCCCAACAGGAAGCCUGCUGGGGGUUGUCUGGCAAAGGUUUUCUCACUCCUACAGGAACAUAAAGAGGAAAUGCUCCUUUUUCCCUGGUGAAUGUUGCAUUCCCUGUCUGGAUGCAAUGCCUGGUGCUCCGCAGCCCUUUGCACUUAUAAGAGAAGGUGGCCGGAAGAGCAUCUUCACCCUGGGGUGGCCGCCUGGGAAGAUGAGAAGAGCAGGAGUCCUUGGUGGCACAACCAGGCAAUUCACCAAAAUCCUGCUGCCCUCACCUGGAAUUUCCUGCUAUGAGAGACGUCUCCGUUUAAACCACAUGAGCUGGAUUUUCUGUUUCUAACACAUGUCAGCAUCUUCACGGUAAAUCUAAGAAAAAAAAAUCAGGGCUAUUAAAAAACAAAGUCCAACUCACCCUGUGCUAUGGUCUGAAGGUGUCCUCCCAAAUUCACACGUGGAAACCUAAUCCCAAAUACCUGAUACCUAAUCCCAAAUAUUAAGAGGUGGGGGCCUUGGGAGGUGGUUAGGAAUGGGAUUAGUGCCCUUUAAAACUGAGGUUUUUGGGAGCCUGCUUGCCCUUUCUGCCAUAUGAAGAUGCUUAGAAGAGGCCUUCUAUGAAGCAGAGAACUUUUCUCAGAUGCCAGAUCUGCUGGGACCUUGAUCUUGGAUUUCUCAGCCUUCAGAACUGUGGGAAGCAAACUUCUGUGUGUAUGAAUAGCCAUCUAAAGGAUUUUGUUACAGCAGCCUGAGCAGACUAAGACACCCUGUGAGUCAGUUAUUUUUGGCUGUGUCACGAGUGACCGCGAGUGCAGGAGCUGAAACGGCAGUGAGUGGGUUACCAUUUCUCAGGACCCUGCGGAAUUGGUGCGAUGGUGCUUCUGCUCCACCUGUUGUUGGCUGGGAUUGUCCUGCAGCUGCAUUCUUCUGGGGGUCAGCUGGGGCUGGAAGCUUCCUGUGGUCUAGUCACACAGCUGGGGUCUCAGCUAGGGUGAUAGAACACUGGGGGCAGGCCGGCCUUGCUGUCUCUCUCUGGCUUCUCAUCAUUCAGUGGUCUAGCCUGAGUUUUUUACAUGGCAGCUCAGGAGGGUCAAUGUGGACGCUAUACAGCCUGUAAGGCCCGGGUUUGGAAGUCCAAGAAUAUGACUUCUACCAUGUUCUACUGGUGAAUAUAAAUUCCAAGGCCAGCCUAGAUUCAAGGGAUAAGAACGUAGAUUUCACUCCUUGAUGGGAGGAUCCCAUGUACAGACAGGGAUCCUUAUGAGGGAUUAUGAGAACUCCUAAUCCUUAUGAGGGAUUAUCAUACAGAGAAUUUAUGGGGGAUUAUCUUUGGAAAUAAUCUACCAUAGAC